rnacentral:rRNA from 1 species
CCUACGGGUGGCAGCAGUAGGGAAUCUUUCACAAUGGGCGAAAGCCUGAUGGAGCAACGCCGCGUGCAGGAUGAAGGCCUUCGGGUUGUAAACUGCUUUUAUAAGCGAGAAAUAUGAUGGUAACUUAUGAAUAAGGAUCGGCUAACUACGUGCCAGCAGCCGCGGUCAUACGUAGGAGCCGAGCAUUAUCCGGAGUGACUGGGUGUAAAGAGUGGAGUAGGUGGCAUAAUAAGUAGCUAGUGAAAUCUGGUGGUGCAACAAUUCAGACUAUUAGCUAAACUGUUAAGCUCGAGACCGUUAGAGGUAACUGGAAUGUGUGGUGUAGGAGUGAAAUCCGUAGAUAUUAGAAAGAACACCGAUAGCGUAGGCAGGUUGCUGGGACGGUUCUGACACUAAGGCACGAAAGCGUAGGGAGCAAACGGGAUUAGAUACCCCUGUAGUC